rnacentral:misc_RNA from 1 species
GUCUGAACUGAAAUAACAGACAUCAAAAUGGAGGUGGAUUUCUUAUUCAAAAUCAAAAGCAUACUUGAGACCAGGAAACAAGCUUUUCAUGGGCAACUCUUAGUGGAGUUCUAGCAAGCCUAUCAAGGGAAGAUUAAUUUAAUAUAUGUUUGAAGGAUUAUCACAAGUGACUAAGCAUUAUCUUCGUUACAAUUCUCAGUCACUUACCCUGUUUUGGUUAACUUGAAACAUCAAAAUCUCAUAAUGGAAAAAAAACGUUAGUGCAUUCUGUAAAGAAGUUUCAAAGUCAAGUUCACAUUUCAGAUUCAAAUCCAAUAUUCCAAAAUCCUUCAGGAGUCAAAGGGGGAACGUACUUAUACCUAUGCCUGGAAACACCAUCAUGAUGCUCACAGCGGAAAUUUUGUAUAUUACCGUCAGCAUCCUUUCCUCCAUUAGGAAGAACUGCAUCAUAGAAUUUCUUACACUGCUUGCAUUCAACUCCUUUCAAAUUAUCCCGCUCAGCUUUCUUUCUAACAGGUUCAACAUACUUGAACCCUUUUUGGCCAGCCAUUGGAAGUAGCAUCUGCUGCUUUUCUGGGCCAGGAUCAACAUUCAUAUCCUGCGUUUCAUCAUCUGGACUAUCAGAGUGCAUAUCUUUCUGAACUGGGAUUUGAAGAUCAUGAUCAUCCUUCAUGGUUUUAUUCAAGGUCCUUCUAAGGUUCUCAAGGGGGGUAUCAAGGAAAUCAUCAUGAGGGUCAGGCCCAUCUCUGUUUUGACGAGACCUAGUACCUAUCCAACGAGAUGCAGGCCGCUUUGUACCAACAACAGGAGCAGAUUUUGCAGCAGGAAGGCAUUUUGGUGCAAUAUAACCGGAAGUAGGAGAAUGGAAGCUUGGCGUCGGAAUUGAUUUGACUACUUUAUCUUCCUCAAACAGAUCACUGGCGUCAUUUUCAAUCUUCACUUUCUUGAUCUCACAAGCAGCUGUAGCAGUAUCUGGAUGUCUGCUCACAAAAUCAGGUGAAGUUGUUGGAUUUUGUUGAUGCAUUAGUGAGGCACUUUCAUCUUCUAAUUUGAUUUGAGGAAGCAUAUUCUCCUCAGUAAGGCCAGCCUUCGCGCAUAGAAAUUUGUACUGAGACUUCAACCUUUUGUAGGCAUCAAAGACAUUCUUUGUCUUCUUCUUCUCAGCCAGCAACUGAGUCUCUUUCAAUUCAAUUUGCUGAAGCAGCUUUUCAUAUGAAUCCUUUCCUUCAUCAACCUUGCUGCAACUACUGAGAUUUUCCUUGAGCUCAUUGAUCUUCUCCUCAAAAACAUUUACUUUCUCCAGAAGCAGUUUUUUAUCGUUCUCAGACUCCUCCAACUGUUGUUUUUGCUUCAAGAUUUCCAAUUUAUCCGCAUCAAUCUGUUGAAGCAGUUGUGCCUGUGACACUCUUCCCUCUUCAAGUUCUUCUGUCUUUUUCUUGAGCUUCUUUUGGAGUUCACUAACAUCCUCCUCCAACCAUUCCAAUUUUUCCACAAGUUCUUUCUUCUCUUUUUCAUGCUUAGUCAACAACUCAUCAUUAUCUGAUAUAAGUGAUAUUAGGGAGUUGAUUCUUUUGAGUAAGUCUGCCUCCAUCUCUUCCUUUUCUGCUAUCUUUAAAGUCUUUCGUUUAAGCUCAUCUUCAAGCACUUCAACCUUUUUCUCUAAGCUCUUCACUUUGUCAAGCAACCCAUUAUUCUGUUCUUUAUACUCAUUCAGUUGUUUUCCCUUCUCCAAUAUCAUAGUUGAUUUCGUUUGGACCAAUUGAAGUAAUCUAUUAUGCAAUUCCAUUCCCUCAUCAACUUCCUUGGACUUCUUCCUAACCUCCUGUUCUAGUUCAUCAAUUCUAACUUGUAGAAUUCUUUCUUUGAGAACUAGUGAGUCUGUCUUGUCAUCCAACUCCCCUAAAGACUUUUCCUUCUCAAGCUUCAGACACCGGUUUUCUUCAAGCAAUUCUUGCUUUUCAAGUAGAAGUCUUUCAUUCUGGAGCUGAAGAUUUUUCUCCUUCUCUUUCCAUGAAUCUUCCGCUUCCUUUUUAGCCUCCAAAUAAAGUUUCUGCAAGCUCUUAGAUUUCAUUUGGAAAUUAGAGUAGAGCUGACUGCAAAAUAUAUACUCUAUCUGAGAAAUCCUGUCCUUUGCUUCCUGAAUUGUUGCAACCAGUAUAGUGCUAAGCUUAGACACAUACUUUAAAUCAUCAUCAUUCUCCGCUGGACACACUGGUUUCGGAAAGUAUUGAAGCCCCCCCUCCAUUUCUGAGGCAAUUGUGUUUGCCGAAUUAAAUAUUCAGAGAAGAGAUGAAAUCUGCUUGUCUCUAUCUCUAUUCUUCGUGUGUCGUGGCGUUGGCGGGUUCUGAAAAUUUUCAUAUAAGCGGAAGUGAAAAGCUUGGU